UCAAAUUGAAUCCUCAUGAAAAAAUUGCGUCUCCCUCCAUCCACAAAACCCUAAAAAUAUAGAGAGAGCACAUAACAGGCACGGUAGGGAGUGUGUGAGAGAGAGGAACAAAUGGGAGAGAGAGACGACUACAGGUUUCUGAAAAUAAAAGACGCCAUUUCUGCAAUAAACCAGAAAGUCAAUCUAAUCGGCGUCGUUAUCGAGCUCGGUUUCCCCAAAACCACCAGAGGAACCGAUUAUUUUUGUUCAGUGAAAAUAGUUGAUGAAUCAUACCCGAAGCCUGGAAUUUCGGUCAACUUUUUCAUGGCACACAUGGAAAAUCUGCCUAGUGUUGGGUCACCUGGAGAUAUAAUUCAGCUUUCUCGUGUCGUGAUGAAAACUCACAACGAUGGUGUCUAUGCUCUUUUCAAUAAAAAAUUUUCUUCUUUUGCGUUAUAUGAAGGAAAAAAUGGUGAAGACUUCCUACCAUAUCAAUGUUCAUUAUUUCGUCCAAGAGACCAUGACUCGAAGUUUAUAGCAGGCAUGAGAAAAUGGUUGGUUGACUUUCAUGUUGAUGAAGGAGUAAAUACUUUCUCCUUCCUGAGAGAGAUGAGGGAAGGACAGCAUGCUAAUUUGGUGUGCAAGAUACUUCAUGUUUGUGAGAUUGCCAAGAAUGAGUGGAUGGUGCUUGUUUGGGAUGGAACAGAUUCUCCACCAAUCAGCAUUAAUACAAAUCCAGAGCACAAAAUGGAUGAACAACUUCCUUUACAGUUGGAACCCUCGCCUCCUUUGUCUAGAGAUUUAUUAUGUACAUUUCCUACUGUUGGAACGAUAUUACGGGUAAUCAUCGACAAAGUCAAUCAGAAGCAUGUUCUCCACCUGCUCAAUACAGGUGAAUGGGUAAAGUUCAUCGGCAUACUCUGUGAAGUGCAUGCAGGACUGUGGCGUGGGGUGUUGACACCUUUCACAAAGCUUAGAUAUUUGUCAAAUGAGGACCAUUUUGUCUUAGCGUGCCAGAGGUCAUACAAUGAGCGUUUGUCACUGAAAUUAGGGCGCAUCCCAUAUUGGUGCUUUCCAUGGUGUUCACAAAUUACAGAGGUUGACUAUGACCACAUGCCAUUUGUUACGUUAAUGGAUGUUCUCACCUAUUCAGAGGCAACUGCUAGAUUCAAGUGCAUAAUUAGAGUAGUGGCUGCAUUUCCAUGGCGUGCUGAGGACUUCUCUCAUUGUGGGACGUACAGAAUUAGACUAACCAUAGAGGAUCCAACCGCCAGAAUUCAUGCUUUCAUCUAUGCUGAAGAUGGGGAGAAAUUUUUUGACGGUAACCCGUCAAUUGCUGAGUUGACAAGGAAGCGAGACAAAUUGCUUGGAGUGGCUGCAAAUAAUGAUGGCAAGGGAGCCAAUCCUGCGUCCAGAAAUCCACCAUGGGUGCAGUGUUGCUUGAAAUCCUAUUACCUAGACAAAAAUGACAUUUGGGGAAGUAGGCAAUAUAGAAUUUUCGGUACCAGGCUUGUGGAUUGAGGAGUUUCACAGAGAGUCAGCUACUGGUUGAUAUGCUGCCAUUGUUUAAUGUAUUGUGUAGUUAGGAUUUUAAAACUGUCUUGAGCAAUCUGUAUUUGUAAAUAGUUUGGUAGCCUUACCAUCACAUACUCUGCUUAGGGUUUGUAGGAGCUGCUCCGAGCCAGUGAAGUUCUAUUUAUAAUAUAAAAUUUCCAUGUAA